rnacentral:rRNA from 1 species
GAUGAACGCUAGCGGCAGGCUUAAUACAUGCAAGUCGUGGGGCAGCAGGUUUGUAGCAAUACAGAUGCUGGCGACCGGCAAACGGGUGCGGAACACGUACAGAACCUUCCUUUGAGCGGGGAAUAGCCCAGAGAAAUUUGGAUUAAUACCCCAUAGUAUAAUGAAGUGGCAUCACUUUAUUAUUAAAGAUUUAUCACUCGAAGAUGGCUGUGCGGCUGAUUAGGUAGUUGGCGGGGUAAAGGCCCACCAAGCCUGCGAUCAGUAACUGGUGUGAGAGCACGACCAGUCACACGGGCACUGAGACACGGGCCCGACUCCUACGGGAGGCAGCAGUAAGGAAUAUUGGUCAAUGGAGGCAACUCUGAACCAGCCAUGCCGCGUGGAGGAUGAAGGUCCUCUGGAUUGUAAACUUCUUUUAUAUGGGACGAAAAAGGCUUUUCUAAGUCGUCUGACGGUACCAUAUGAAUAAGCACCGGCUAACUCCGUGCCAG